UGAGGAAUAUUGGACAAUGGGCGCAAGCCUGAUCCAGCAAUGCCGCGUGCAGGAUGAAGGCCUUCGGGUUGUAAACUGCUUUUGUACGGAGCGAAAAGGUCUGCCCUAAUACGGUGGGCUCAUGACGGUACCGUAAGAAUAAGCACCGGCUAACUACGUGCCAGCAGCCGCGGUAAUACGUAGGGUGCGAGCGUUAAUCGGAAUUACUGGGCGUAAAGCGUGCGCAGGCGGUUAUAUAAGACAGAUGUGAAAUCCCCGGGCUCAACCUGGGACCUGCAUUUGUGACUGUAUAGCUAGAGUACGGUAGAGGGGGAUGGAAUUCCGCGUGUAGCAGUGGAAUGCGUAGAUAUGCGGAGGAACACCGAUGGCGAAGGCAAUCCCCUGGACCUGUACUGACGCUCAUGCACGAAAGCGUGGGGAGCAAACA
rnacentral:rRNA from 1 species